UACGGAGGGUGCAAGCGUUAUCCGGAUUCACUGGGUUUAAAGGGUGCGUAGGUGGCUUUGUAAGUCAGUGGUGAAAGCCCGGGGCUCAACCCCGGAAUUGCCAUUGAUACUGCUUAGCUUGAAUCAGGUCGAGGUGGAUGGAAUAUUACAUGUAGCGGUGAAAUGCUUAGAGAUGUAAUAGAACACCGAUUGCGAAGGCAGUUCACUAGGCCCGUAUUGACACUGAGGCACGAAAGCGUGGGGAUCAAACAGG
rnacentral:rRNA from 1 species